rnacentral:tRNA from 1 species
GGAGACGUGUCAGAGUGGUCUAAUGUACCUCUUUGCUAAAGAGGUGAGGGGGUAAAACUCCUCCGGAGGUUCGAAUCCUCCCGUCUCCG